UGGGGAAUCUUGGACAAUGGGCGCAAGCCUGAUCCAGCCAUGCCGCGUGAGUGACGAAGGCCUUAGGGUUGUAAACCCCUUUCAGUUGGGACGUCGUCGGUGAACAGCCGGCCGGAGUGACGGUACCUUCAGAAGAAGCCCCGGCUAACUAC
rnacentral:rRNA from 1 species